rnacentral:rRNA from 1 species
GACGAACGCUGGCGGCGUGCCUAAUACAUGCAAGUCGAACGAACUCUGGUAUUGAUUGGUGCUUGCAUCAUGAUUUACAUUUGAGUGAGUGGCGAACUGGUGAGUAACACGUGGGAAACCUGCCCAGAAGCGGGGGAUAACACCUGGAAACAGAUGCUAAUACCGCAUAACAACUUGGACCGCAUGGUCCGAGUUUGAAAGAUGGCUUCGGCUAUCACUUUUGGAUGGUCCCGCGGCGUAUUAGCUAGAUGGUGGGGUAACGGCUCACCAUGGCAAUGAUACGUAGCCGACCUGAGAGGGUAAUCGGCCACAUUGGGACUGAGACACGGCCCAAACUCCUACGGGAGGCAGCAGUAGGGAAUCUUCCACAAUGGACGAAAGUCUGAUGGAGCAACGCCGCGUGAGUGAAGAAGGGUUUCGGCUCGUAAAACUCUGUUGUUAAAGAAGAACAUAUCUGAGAGUAACUGUUCAGGUAUUGACGGUAUUUAACCAGAAAGCCACGGCUAACUACGUGCCAGCAGCCGCGGUAAUACGUAGGUGGCAAGCGUUGUCCGGAUUUAUUGGGCGUAAAGCGAGCGCAGGCGGUUUUUUAAGUCUGAUGUGAAAGCCUUCGGCUCAACCGAAGAAGUGCAUCGGAAACUGGGAAACUUGAGUGCAGAAGAGGACAGUGGAACUCCAUGUGUAGCGGUGAAAUGCGUAGAUAUAUGGAAGAACACCAGUGGCGAAGGCGGCUGUCUGGUCUGUAACUGACGCUGAGGCUCGAAAGUAUGGGUAGCAAACAGGAUUAGAUACCCUGGUAGUCCAUACCGUAAACGAUGAAUGCUAAGUGUUGGAGGGUUUCCGCCCUUCAGUGCUGCAGCUAACGCAUUAAGCAUUCCGCCUGGGGAGUACGGCCGCAAGGCUGAAACUCAAAGGAAUUGACGGGGGCCCGCACAAGCGGUGGAGCAUGUGGUUUAAUUCGAAGCUACGCGAAGAACCUUACCAGGUCUUGACAUACUAUGCAAAUCUAGAGAUUAGACGUUCCCUUCGGGGACAUGGAUACAGGUGGUGCAUGGUUGUCGUCAGCUCGUGUCGUGAGAUGUUGGGUUAAGUCCCGCAACGAGCGCAACCCUUAUUAUCAGUUGCCAGCAUUAAGUUGGGCACUCUGGUGAGACUGCCGGUGACAAACCGGAGGAAGGUGGGGAUGACGUCAAAUCAUCAUGCCCCUUAUGACCUGGGCUACACACGUGCUACAAUGGAUGGUACAACGAGUUGCGAACUCGCGAGAGUAAGCUAAUCUCUUAAAGCCAUUCUCAGUUCGGAUUGUAGGCUGCAACUCGCCUACAUGAAGUCGGAAUCGCUAGUAAUCGCGGAUCAGCAUGCCGCGGUGAAUACGUUCCCGGGCCUUGUACACACCGCCCGUCACACCAUGAGAGUUUGUAACACCCAAAGUCGGUGGGGUAACCUUUUAGGAACCAGCCGCCUAAGGUGGGACAGAUGAUUAGGGUG